GCUUGACAUGUUCUAGACCGCCAUAGAAAUAUGGUUUCCCCUUUGGGGCUGGUUCACAGGUGGUGCAUGGUUGUCGUCAGCUCGUGUCGUGAGAUGUUGGGUUAAGUCCCGCAACGAGCGCAACCCUCGUUCUAUGUUGCCAGCACGUGAUGGUGGGGACUCAUAGGAGACUGCCGGGGUCAACUCGGAGGAAGGUGGGGACGACGUCAAAUCAUCAUGCCCCUUAUGUCUUGGGCUUCACGCAUGCUACAAUGGCCGGUACAAUGGGUUGCGAUACUGUGAGGUGGAGCUAAUCCCAAAAAGCCGGUCUCAGUUCGGAUUGGGGUCUGCAACUCGACCCCAUGAAGUCGGAGUCGCUAGUAAUCGCAGAUCAGCAACGCUACGGUGAAUACGUUCCCGGGA
rnacentral:rRNA from 1 species